UCAAAGAAACACCUUCCCUGCCUCACAUCCGUUUGUGGUUUGUAAAGAAAAAAAAAUCUCUUCCAAAAAAGCACCGGUCUGCAGAUGUCUGCAAGAGAAUCAACAAACCCUCCUUCUUCUGCAGCAGGGCAGGGAACUUUGACAGGACAGGAGCAAGAAAAUACUUCUGCCUCCAUCUGUCUUUGGGAGGAAAAAAGUGUGUGAGAAAGCACUCGUCCCAUUUUGCUUUCUGAAGAAAGUUUUUAGAAGAAGAUCAUUGUGAACUUUGGGUCGAAGGAGGUACUACCCAUGCGUGGGCAACUGAAUCUUUAGUUUAAUUAAGCUUCUGUGGAUGUACCAUAGGAUUUUUUGGAGAAUAAAAUUAUUGAUGACAACAGACAGAAGACAGUAAACAUGGACAAUUCAUGGAGGAUAGAACCGCAGGUGACGACGACUUACAAGGACAGAGAUUCAAAUUCAGCUCAGGAAUCCCUCAACGCCUGCUUGCUAGAAGUGGGAAAGGCCAACCAAAUGCUGAGGAUGAAGAAAAUGUGGAAAAGAAGAUGACCAAAGAAGUUUAGAACUGACAUUAAUGCAAGAUGUGCGGUCCAGUCUAUAAGAAAUUACUUGGUAAUAGCAGCAUGCAUUGAACAGAGAAAAUAAAUUUCAAUUUAAUACUAUUGAUUCUACAAUUGAAUUGUGUCCAGAUUGCUGGAGAAACCCUCUAAAUAUAGAGAGAAAAUUAUGAGACAACAGUGACUGCCACCUGCUGCAAUCCCGAGAUAAAAUGUGGGUGCCCAGAUUCUAUUUGCCAACCAGUAUUAGCUCAUUGAUGGCUCACCGUAAACAUUCUCCAAGAAUACUUGAUGAGCUGCUCUGGAGACUGCUUGCCAGGUCUUCAGCUACUGACAAGGAAAGGAGGUAUGAGUGUAAGGGUAGUGUCAAAUUCUCACUUAAAGUCCCUGGUGUCUCAUGCAAGGACCUACUGCCAGAGUAUGUUAGAACUGCUCUUUAAUUUCUCUGCUUUUGUCCUCUGUUAUUAGCCCGAAAAAGCUGAAAAGCACGGCAUGUCCAGAAUUGCAGUACGUUAAAAUUCGAUGUGCCUUAGGAGCCUAAGUUCCUAGGGAACCCAGAAAAAGAGUUGAAAACAAGUUUAUUACUUAUCUAACAAGCUUUGGAGACAGCUCGUUAUAUUUAUGCUUUAGCUUGAAAGAGGAAACCAAAGUCUUGGCUGCUGAUCAGGUUCUGCUAAAUAAUUGUGAGGCUACCUUGCAAAAGAACAUAGUUGGUAAAAGCUGAGGAUGCUGAGAUCUCUCCAUAGUGCAUAUGCAAGUAUGGCCUAGCAUGAUGCAGAGCAUACGUUGGAACAUAUCUACCAUUUAUAGUCCCGUAAUUGUAGGGAAAAUUAAGCAUCUGCUAUUCCCAAAUGAGUGUACAACCGUCUUAAAACUGGGUCUUGAAAAAAUAGUGAGGAGUGGAGAUCAUCUACAGUGGAAAAGAAAGACCUCUAUUCAGAAUAUAUAAAAAUACGAUUUAUUAGCAUAAUACCGGUCUUGAGAAUCAAGCAUUAUAAUUAAUCUUUUAUAUUUUUUCAUUGAUGUUCAGUAAGCAUAUAACAUAGCAGUUUCAUAUUUCAAAUAUAUACAUAAAGUCUUCCCACUGUGCAUGUGUUCCAAAUAUUACUCUUAUAUCUUCUGAGAUUAAGUAAACGCAGAAAGUAAUGUACUCUACAUAAAUAUAGCACUACUGAAUCAUAAUAAAUUUUUAAAAAUAUCUAUUUACCACAAGAACUGUCUCAGAAUCUCUUAGUGAAAACGUUGAUUGGUUGAAAUCAGAAGGUUUUUUUUCCUCUUCCCAGAAAUGUACCAAUUUCAACAGAACUUCUUCAGUUUCAAGAAGGAUCUUCUGGUUAAAAAUAAAUAAAACUUUGAAUAUGCAGUUGGCCAGUGAGUGGAUGUAUGUAAAAUAAGAGAGACCUAAGGUUAGGUCUUUCCUCUGCCUGCUUUACAUGGCUUGAACCUGAAUUUUCCACAUAAGUGAAUGCCCGACCCCUAGCUAGUAGUUUCAGUUUCCCUCACUCAAUCUGUUCCAGUAUGUUUACAUGUAUAAGUAAGUGUCCAUUUGGAAGAUGAAGCUACGGAUUGACACAGGGACCCAAGAGCUUGGCAGCAAUAAAAGAUCUUCAUGUUCUCAGAAAAUUUUUGCAUAUUUCAGAAAUUGUGAUGAGAAACAAACAGGCUUUUGGCAAAUUCGAAAGUAAUAAAGAUCGAAAAACUUCAAAGAGAUGAAUGUAUUAGUGAAAUAGUAAUAUUUUGAUACUUAAACAUAGCAACCGUAAACAACUUUUCUAUUUACUGUAAGUGAAGUAGCAGUGCAUACCAGAAUUUACCUGGCAGAAAUGUUGCCCAUGCUCAUAAUCUGUAGAGGCAGUGACAACUGCUUGUUAUGGCUAAGAAAGGUAUGAAUUCAAUUCUUCUAAUAGACUUAGGGAGACUCGUGCCCCACUAAACCACCUGUAAAUGAGAAUGAAGCUGGCAGCAGGUGCACCCCUGCAGUCGGCCAACUGAAUAAUCAUGGCCAAUCGCUCAUCUCCCAAAGUAACAACGAUCAGCUCAGUCCUGCGUGUGCUGAAGCCAGUGUGAAAAAAGACAAAGCCAAACCUCACUACAUCCACUCCUGUGAUCUCAUAUCCCCUCCUGUGAUCUCAUAUAGUACCUUCUUCCCCUGCAUCUCAUUUAGUGAUCAGUCAGUCUCCUGAGAUAUAAAUCCUGUGCUUGUCCCACUGAUAGAAGAUUUUACUUAGAAUGGUUGAUUCUAUUUGCAGAAAUGCAUUUUAUUUGUGCUGUGAAAUGAGAGUGCAGCAAGCUCCUGUGGGCAGACUGCUUUGUUGAGUCAAAUUUGUACUCUCAUUUUGAGUAUGGAACUUAUACCAUUCGACACUUCACACGAAAAGAUAUGUUUUACGCUAAUAUGUAGUAAUCUCUGUACAAGUACAAUCGCUACUCACUUUCUCUGCUUUUAGCCACUCCCUAGUGGGAAAUUUCUCUGGGAAAUGAACAUGAGAUUUGGGUUCUAACUGUAUUUUCAAGUGCAUUUAUCGGUUAAAUUUCGUGUACUGUUAUGACAAAGAGAUUCUACUAAUAAUAGUAAUGGAUUUCUGAUAACAGAUAAAACCCAGACACUGAAAACUCCUACA